rnacentral:rRNA from 1 species
GACGAACGCUGGCGGCGUGCUUAACACAUGCAAGUCGAACGGAAAGGCCCUGCUUUUGUGGGGUGCUCGAGUGGCGAACGGGUGAGUAACACGUGAGUAACCUGCCUUUGACUUUGGGAUAACUUCAGGAAACUGGGGCUAAUACCGGAUAGGAGCUCCUGCUGCAUGGUGGGGGUUGGAAAGUUUCGGCGGUUGGGGAUGGACUCGCGGCUUAUCAGCUUGUUGGUGGGGUAGUGGCUUACCAAGGCUUUGACGGGUAGCCGGCCUGAGAGGGUGACCGGCCACAUUGGGACUGAGAUACGGCCCAGACUCGUACGGGAGGCAGCAGUGGGGAAUAUUGCACAAUGGGCGGAAGCCUGAUACAGCAACGCCGCGUGCGGGAUGACGGCCUUCGGGUUGUAAACCGCUUUCGCCUGUGACGAAGCGUGAGUGACGGUAAUGGGUAAAGAAGCACCGGCUAACUACGUG